UGUAGCCUGGUCAAAACUGACACGGUCAAGCUUGUAACCUGGCCAAAUUGACACGGUCAAGCUUAUCCUCUGUCAGAACCGUUGGUUGUGUCAUAUGGCCAUACAUUUUACCGUUAUUGCUCUGGAGGGCAGGCAAUUGACCUCCCAAGUCAGUGAGGUAGUCAUGAACUACUUUAGGAAAACUUCCUACCUCAAAAUGACUGUUCACAGGCUGAAAAUCCCAGCAGACAAGCCAAAUAGUUCUUUAGAACAAAAUGGAAACCUUUUGCAGCUGAUCAUAAUUAUCUGGAAUGCAGCCAAACUGAUAAAUGUUUCUGGAGAUAAACUGGUGAUUUUAUAUACAAAAAUGUCCUAGUGAUGUAAGGCCAACUCACAAGAACAAAGUUUCAGCUGACUUACAAUCAAGCUACAUCAAGUAAGAAUCAGAAGCCACGGUGGAUUAUCAAGAUGCCACAGUGAAAUUUAUAAUUUUUUAGAGAUGAUGAUUCUCAGGAACAAACAGGUGUCCUUUUGGCACUUGAGAAAAUAUGUAAACAAAUGUCAAACAGUGUUCACACUAGGCAAUAUCCCUUCUUCCUGUAGACUGACCUGAUCAUUUCUGAAUUCUGUCAUUCGUGAUCUUGGAUGGUGAAGUGGAAGUAAUAAGAAACACCAGUGAAAAUAUAGAAAGAAAUGAAUCACUCAAAUAUUAAUGAAUAAAAGGCCUCACC